UACGUAGGGUGCAAGCGUUGUCCGGAAUUAUUGGGACGUAAAGAGCUCGUAGGCGGUCUGUCGCGUCGGCUGUGAAAACCUGGGGCUCAACUCCAGGCCUGCAGUCGAUACGGGCAGACUAGAGUUCGGUAGGGGAGACGUGGAAUUCCUGGUGUAGCGGUGAAAUGCGUAGAUAUCGGAAGGAACACCAGUGGCGAAAGCGGCUUCCUGGUCCAGCACCGACGUCAGGCACGAAAGCGUGGGGAGCAAACAGG
rnacentral:rRNA from 1 species